rnacentral:rRNA from 1 species
UACGUAGGUGGCAAGCGUUGUCCGGAAUCACUGGGCGUAAAGCGCGCGCAGGCGGCGAUCUACGUCUGGGGUGAAAGCCCGGAGCUCAACUCCGGGACUGCCUUGGAUACGGGAUCGCUUGAGGAUUGGAGAGGCAAGGGGAAUUCCACGUGUAGCGGUGAAAUGCGUAGAUAUUCGGAAGAACACCAGUGGCGAAGGCGGCUCACUGGACUGGUAUUGACGCUGAGGUGCGAAAGCGUGGGGAGCAAACAGG